rnacentral:rRNA from 1 species
GUUAUAUGGUCAAGUGAAGAAGCGCAUACGGUGGAUGCCUUGGCAGUCAGAGGCGAUGAAAGACGUGGUAGCCUGCGAAAAGCUUCGGGGAGUCGGCAAACAGACUGUGAUCCGGAGAUGUCUGAAUGGGGGAACCCAGCCAUCAUAAGAUGGUUAUCUCAAGCUGAAUACAUAGGCUUGAGAGGCGAACCAGGGGAACUGAAACAUCUAAGUACCCUGAGGAAAAGAAAUCAACCGAGAUUCCCUUAGUAGUGGCGAGCGAACGGGGACCAGCCCUUAAGUUGAUUUGAGAUUAGCGGAACGCUCUGGAAAGUGCGGCCAUAGUGGGUGAUAGCCCUGUACGCGAAAAUCUCUUGUCAAUGAAAUCGAGUAGGACGGAGCACGAGAAACUUUGUCUGAAUAUGGGGGGACCAUCCUCCAAGGCUAAAUACUACUGACUGACCGAUAGUGAACUAGUACCGUGAGGGAAAGGCGAAAAGAACCCCGGAGAGGGGAGUGAAAUAGAUCCUGAAACCGUAUGCGUACAAGCAGUGGGAGCAGACUUUGUUCUGUGACUGCGUACCUUUUGUAUAAUGGGUCAGCGACUUAUAUUCAGUGGCGAGCUUAACCGAAUAGGGGAGGCGUAGCGAAAGCGAGUGUUAAUAGCGCGUUUAGUCGCUGGGUAUAGACCCGAAACCGGGCGAUCUAUCCAUGGGCAGGUUGAAGGUUGGGUAACACUAACUGGAGGACCGAACCGACUACCGUUGAAAAGUUAGCGGAUGACCUGUGGAUCGGAGUGAAAGGCUAAUCAAGCUCGGAGAUAGCUGGUUCUCCUCGAAAGCUAUUUAGGUAGCGCCUCAUGUAUCACUGUAGGGGGUAGAGCACUGUUUCGGCUAGGGGGUCAUCCCGACUUACCAAACCGAUGCAAACUCCGAAUACCUACAAGUGCCGAGCAUGGGAGACACACGGCGGGUGCUAACGUCCGUCGUGAAAAGGGAAACAACCCAGACCGUCAGCUAAGGUCCCAAAGUCAUGGUUAAGUGGGAAACGAUGUGGGAAGGCUUAGACAGCUAGGAGGUUGGCUUAGAAGCAGCCACCCUUUAAAGAAAGCGUAAUAGCUCACUAGUCGAGUCGGCCUGCGCGGAAGAUGUAACGGGGCUCAAACCAUGCACCGAAGCUACGGGUAUCAUCUUUUGAUGAUGCGGUAGAGGAGCGUUCUGUAAGCCUGUGAAGGUGAGUUGAGAAGCUUGCUGGAGGUAUCAGAAGUGCGAAUGCUGACAUGAGUAACGACAAUGGGUGUGAAAAACACCCACGCCGAAAGACCAAGGUUUCCUGCGCAACGUUAAUCGACGCAGGGUUAGUCGGUCCCUAAGGCGAGGCUGAAAAGCGUAGUCGAUGGAAAACAGGUUAAUAUUCCUGUACUUCUGGUUAUUGCGAUGGAGGGACGGAGAAGGCUAGGCCAGCUUGGCGUUGGUUGUCCAAGUUUAAGGUGGUAGGCUGAGAUCUUAGGUAAAUCCGGGAUCUUAAGGCCGAGAGCUGAUGACGAGUUGUCUUUAGACGACGAAGUGGUUGAUGCCAUGCUUCCAAGAAAAGCUUCUAAGCUUCAGGUAACCAGGAACCGUACCCCAAACCGACACAGGUGGUUGGGUAGAGAAUACCAAGGCGCUUGAGAGAACUCGGGUGAAGGAACUAGGCAAAAUGGCACCGUAACUUCGGGAGAAGGUGCGCCGGUGAGGGUGAAGGACUUGCUCCGUAAGCCCAUGCCGGUCGAAGAUACCAGGCCGCUGCGACUGUUUAUUAAAAACACAGCACUCUGCAAACACGAAAGUGGACGUAUAGGGUGUGACGCCUGCCCGGUGCCGGAAGGUUAAUUGAUGGGGUUAGCUAACGCGAAGCUCUUGAUCGAAGCCCCGGUAAACGGCGGCCGUAACUAUAACGGUCCUAAGGUAGCGAAAUUCCUUGUCGGGUAAGUUCCGACCUGCACGAAUGGCGUAACGAUGGCGGCGCUGUCUCCACCCGAGACUCAGUGAAAUUGAAAUCGCUGUGAAGAUGCAGUGUAUCCGCGGCUAGACGGAAAGACCCCGUGAACCUUUACUAUAGCUUUGCACUGGACUUUGAAUUUGCUUGUGUAGGAUAGGUGGGAGGCUUUGAAGCGUGGACGCCAGUUCGCGUGGAGCCAUCCUUGAAAUACCACCCUGGCAACUUUGAGGUUCUAACUCAGGUCCGUUAUCCGGAUCGAGGACAGUGUAUGGUGGGUAGUUUGACUGGGGCGGUCUCCUCCUAAAGAGUAACGGAGGAGUACGAAGGUGCGCUCAGACCGGUCGGAAAUCGGUCGUAGAGUAUAAAGGCAAAAGCGCGCUUGACUGCGAGACAGACACGUCGAGCAGGUACGAAAGUAGGUCUUAGUGAUCCGGUGGUUCUGUAUGGAAGGGCCAUCGCUCAACGGAUAAAAGGUACUCCGGGGAUAACAGGCUGAUACCGCCCAAGAGUUCAUAUCGACGGCGGUGUUUGGCACCUCGAUGUCGGCUCAUCACAUCCUGGGGCUGAAGCCGGUCCCAAGGGUAUGGCUGUUCGCCAUUUAAAGUGGUACGCGAGCUGGGUUUAGAACGUCGUGAGACAGUUCGGUCCCUAUCUGCCGUGGACGUUUGAGAUUUGAGAGGGGCUGCUCCUAGUACGAGAGGACCGGAGUGGACGAACCUCUGGUGUUCCGGUUGUCACGCCAGUGGCAUUGCCGGGUAGCUAUGUUCGGAAAAGAUAACCGCUGAAAGCAUCUAAGCGGGAAACUUGCCUCAAGAUGAGAUCUCACUGGAACCUUGAGUUCCCUAAAGGGCCGUCGAAGACUACGACGUUGAUAGGUUGGGUGUGUAAGCGCUGUGAGGCGUUGAGCUAACCAAUACUAAUUGCCCGUGAGGCUUGACCAUAUAACACCCAAGCAAUU